rnacentral:tRNA from 1 species
ACUUAAAUGGCUUAUAGUUUAGAGCGCAACAUUGAAGAUGUUGAUGAGGUAUUAUUUACCUUUAGGUA